rnacentral:rRNA from 1 species
AGUGGCGGACGGGUGAGUAACGCGUGAGAAUCUACCUUUAGGACGGGGACAACAAUUGGAAACGAUUGCUAAUACCCGAUAUGCCCUUCGGGGUGAAAUGUUUUUUCGCCUAAAGAUGAGCUCGCGUCCGAUUAGCUAGUAGGUAGUGUAAUGGACUACCUAGGCGAUGAUCGGUAGCUGGUUUGAGAGGACAAUCAGCCACACUGGGACUGAGACACGGCCCAGACUCCUACGGGAGGCAGCAGUGGGGAAUUUUCCGCAAUGGGCGCAAGCCUGACGGAGCAAUACCGCGUGGGGGAGGAAGGUCUGUGGAUUGUAAACCCCUUUUCUCAGGGAAGAAGCUCUGACGGUACCUGAGGAAUCAGCAUCGGCUAACUCCGUGCCAGCAGCCGCGGUAAUACGGAGGAUGCAAGCGUUAUCCGGAAUUAUUGGGCGUAAAGCGUCCGCAGGCGGCUAGAUAAGUCUGCUUUCAAAGAGUGGGGCUCAACCCCAUAGGGGGAGUGGAAACUGUUUAGCUAGAGUAUGGUAGGGGCAGAGGGAAUUCCCAGUG